AUGGCACAUGUCGACUUCUGCAUUCAAACAGGUCCCGGACUUGUUGGAGCGGUUCUUAAAGCACACAGGCGUGAGAAAACACAGAUGGGUUGGAGCCGACUACGUCGUAACUGUGCACAGAAGACAUCACACCAUGUUCAAGAUUUUCAGACGUCUUGGAAGACCUCGGGAUGCAGAGAGGUUUUUUGGUUUCGGUUUGGGGUGCUUUUUUCUCCCCUUUCCUCCUUACAUCGUUGGAAUUCACUGCUUGUUUCCUUUCCGUUCUAUUUCUAUAUCCUGGCAGCACCUGCUGCUGAUGGGAACGCAGGAUCCCUUGGCCUCGGUGACGGGGUCACUGGGGCUGCCCCAGGCUUGACCCCACCUCUACCUGUGUCUGUUUCCCCAGCUGCAGGGAGGCGAGCCGGGCAGGAGGAGAAGCCAUCCAUCAACCUGCAGCAGCCCAGGCCCAAGUGAGGGCGGGAAGGGUCAGGGCUGGUGAGCACUUGAACAGGUUGGAGAGGAGGAGGAGGUUACAGAUUGUUGAGAUAACAGCGCUGGCCUUGAUGGAUGGUGCAGGAGGAACGAGACGCCUGUCCUCCCAGCCUCCUCUGGCACCAGGACAGAGCCCACACUCUGAGUCUCUGCUGACUUCUUCCCGCCCCCCACCCACACCCCAACACACACCCGCCCCCUCCUCCCCAGCUUGCUUUUUCUUGCCGGCUCACAGCCCAUCCGUCAAGCCCUGCCCUGAAGCUGACCUUUUGCAGAGAGCAGCCAGCCUAAGAGAACCACCUCUUGCUGAAAACUCUCAGCAAGGGGUUUUAUGAACAUAGGCAGGCCGGACAUGGGCACCACAGCCACUCCCCUGCCCCUCUGCCUGCCUCCUCACCCGGGAGUGCUGUCAGCCCUGAGCAAGAAGAAAAAGGCAAGGGUGUGUCUGGAUUUCUUCAGCAAUGCUCCUAUUUCUCUCUCCAGGCCCCAGACACACUUCUGGCCCAGGUAGGCCUUACCAGAUCCAAAAGUUUCCUGGGAGCUGUGGGUGCUUGUCUCACUCUGAAACUCACCCGUCUAUACAGCCUUACCUUGGCCUCUGCAUCCUCUGCCCUCUUAAAAGCAGUGCUGGGAACUUCAGGAAAGGCACUGUGGCCUCCUCUGGAGAAAAGCUCAAGUUGAAAAGGUGCAGAGAAGGCUCACUGGCAGCAUGUGCUGAGACGGGGAGAAGUGCUCUGAGCUUGGGCAGCGGGUAGACACAAGGCUGGGCAGUUUCUGGCCGGCUGGGGAAUCUGUUCCUCUCGCUGGGGCUCCAGUUUUGGAGACCACACAGGUUGCCAGUCACGCCACUGCAACAGCACAAUAGACCAGAGAGUGGGGACAUGUUGGGGCAAACAGUGAUGGAAGAUGUUUAGUAGCAUUACGAUUAGGCCUCAAGUUAAUGAAUCACAACUGCAAGAAAUCAUGAUAAUCCAGCAGGCAU
rnacentral:lncRNA from 13 species